rnacentral:lncRNA from 1 species
CUUAAGGAUGUACUUAGGUGAGGUUUUGGAAUUUGUAUCAAAUGUUCGGACUCCUUGGUGUUUUUCCAUACAAUACUAUGUAAAAUAUUUUGCCCCAUAACACCCAUUUAUUUUUUCAUAUAAGACUUAACAGCUCAUGGAAGGUCAUUUGCCAAAAUUUAAGAAGAUUUUCGAUUUUCUUUCUUUUGUUUUGAGACCCAAAUAGUUUCAAUGCAAAUAUAAGGUAAAAGUCCGUGUCAGCCUUUUCC